AUUCCAGCUCCAAUAGCGUAUACUAAAGUUGUUGCAGUUAAAAAGCUCGUAGUUGGAUUUCUAAUCUCUCUUGGGGUUCCUUUUCUAAAGAAAUGCGCGACCAUUCAAGAGAGAUUAUCCUCGUGCCUAGCCUUUCUCACUUUCAUUAGUCAGGAAGGGGACGCACGUCAUUUACUGUGAGCAAAAUAGAGUGUUCAAAGCAGGCUUAGGCCAUGAAUAUAUUAGCAUGGAAUAAUAAGAUAGGACCUUGGUCUAUUUUGUUGGUUUACAUUCCAAGGUAAUGAUUAAUAGGGAUAGUUGGGGGUAUUCGUAUUCAAUUGUCAGAGGUGAAAUUCUUGGAUUUAUGGAAGACGAACUACUGCGAAAGCAUUUACCAAGGAUGUUUUCAUCA
rnacentral:rRNA from 1 species